rnacentral:rRNA from 1 species
UACAGAGGGUGCGAGCGUUGUCCGGAAUCACUGGGCGUAAAGGGCGCGUAGGCGGUCUGCUAAGCGUGCGGUGAAAGCCCGGGGCUCAACCCCGGGUCGGCCGUGCGAACUGGUGGACUGGAGCUUGUCAGAGGCAGGCGGAAUUCCGGGUGUAGCGGUGGAAUGCGUAGAGAUCCGGAAGAACACCGGUGGCGAAGGCGGCCUGCUGGGACAGUGCUGACGCUGAAGCGCGACAGCGUGGGGAGCAAACAGGAUUGAGAUACCCCGAGU